rnacentral:rRNA from 1 species
CACGUAGGGGACGAGCGUUGUCCGGAUUCAUUGGGCGUAAAGCGCGCGUAGGCGGCUCGGAAAGUCGGGCGUGAAAUGCCGGGGCUUAACCCUGAGCCUGCUUCCGAUACGGGCAGACUAGAGGUAUGCAGGGGAGAAUGGAAUUCCUGGUGUAGCGGUGAAAUGCGCAGAUAUCAGGAGGAACACCGGUGGCGAAGGCGGUUCUCUGGGCAUUACCUGACGCUGAGGAGCGAAAGUGUGGGGAGCGAACAGG